AUUAAAACAAAUACCGUGAAAACAUACAUAAAUCUCACUAAUUAGUGAUUUUAAAUUUCAAGCUAAAGCGCGUACUACGUGUGACUUGUGAUUGGUUGUUUAGAAAUCGUAUAGCGUCAAAAUUUCGCUCUUAUUUUCGAGUGUUUUACAAACAAAAGUGGUGUUACGGAAAGCUCAACUGGUUGAUUUCCUAAGUUCUUACGUCUUACGUCGUUAUGGAAUUUCAUACAUAUGACUCUAAAUGCCACGUCAGCCAAUUUCGUCUCGUUUUGAUCAACAAUUCGAUCAGCAGUAUAGACCUUUUAAUCUAUAUUUUCGUGAUAUUAUUAAAAAUGAUAUAUGUAAUAUGGACGGAAUAUUAAUUAAAAUAAGCUAAGAGAAUGCAUAUAUGCAUUUAUGUAUUAUUGUAUAUUAUUGUUGAAAUGUUAAUAGAUACAACAGUACAACGAUGUCAAAAGAAUCUACGAAUUCAUAUGAUGUUGAUAUAAGAGAUAUGCGAGUAAAAUACAAAAAUAGAAAUGAAACCUUUACAGAAGAAGAUUUGGUAAGCAAAGAACCAAUAGGACAAUUUAAAGCAUGGUUUGAGGAAGCUUGUAAAACACCAGAAAUAUUUGAACCAAAUGCGGUACUUCUUGGAACUGCAACGAAAGAUGGUCUUCCAUCUGUAAGACCAGUAUUGUUAAGAGGCUAUAGCGUGGAAGGUUUCAAAUUUUAUACAAAUUAUGGCAGUAGGAAGAGUAAAGAAUUAGAAGAAAAUCCAAAUGCUGGAAUGACGUUCUACUGGGGACCAUUACACCGAGUUAUACGAAUAGAGGGAACCGUUGAGAAAACUUCAGCUGAAGAUUCUGAUGAAUAUUUUAAUAGUCGACCAUUCAAAAAUCAAAUAGGAUCUAUGAUCAGUAACCAAAGUACUACUAUUGCUAAUAGGGAAAUUCUUCUAGCAAAAGAAAAGGAGUUACUUGAUCAAUAUACAGAAGAAAACAUUAAAAGACCAGAUUGGUGGGGUGGUUAUAUAAUUAAACCAAAAUCAGUUGAAUUUUGGCAAGGACAAAGCAAUCGUUUGCACGAUAGAAUUCUUUUCAGGCGACCAAUGCCUGGUGAAAGCAUUGAUAAUAUUUUUGUCCAUACAGGAGAAAAUGGAUGGGUAUAUGAAAGAUUAUCACCUUAAGCACUUGCGCUGGAAGAACAUUUUAUGUAUUUCUAAUCUUGGUAUUAUUUCCAGGGUCUCAUUUUAAAAAUGAAGGUUUAAGUUAAAAACUCGUUUUCUUGAAUUUUUGAAAAAGCUUUAUUUUCUUUGAAAAAAAUUUUAUCAAAAACUAAUCUUUUUUCAAGAAUAAUUUAUACAUAAAAAAAACUUUUAAAAAUUCGAAAAAGCGAAGUCCUAACAUAAACCUUUAUCUUCAAGAUAAGACCUUGUUCAUCAAAAUUAGUCAAGGAUUGUCUCAUUGUUGGUCUGAGUGGUGUUUUCGACAUAUUUCGUACAGUUGCGACCUUCAAAAUCUUUAUUAAAAGAGAAGAAACUCAUAUCCAUAGUACUGAUUUUCAAAUCACAUUUGAAUAUGUAUAGUUUGUUUUCAUGAAGUAGAUGAUUGUCUACUUAUUAUGUGCGUAAACUGAGAUUUUUAUCCAUUUCAAAUACAAAGAAAUGAGUUUCACGAUGCUUACAAGGAGAAACUAUGUUAACUCAUUCAGAUAUUUCAAUGAGUUUUAGAUAGAUAAUUUUGUGAUAAAACUAAGGAAGUGUAUAUUUAGUCAUUUAUGUUAGUGGGUAUAAGUUUAUAGAAUAUUAAGUUUUAAAAAAAUGUAUAUUUUAUUUUUUAUAUUUUAUAUUUUAUAUUUUAUAUUUUAUAUUCUAGAGAUACAGAAAUUUUAAAAGGAAAAUGUAGCAGAAUUGGAUUUGUAAUUCAGGAAUUUUUAGUAAGCUAUCCACUCAUCCUACUAUCCAGUCUCUUAUAUUUAUUUCUACGAACAAUUGACAUUCUUUUCGCAAUGAUCUGUGCCAGAUAAGAUACAGCAGCAGCACAAUUUUGACAAAUGGAUAUAAAUACAUUUAUUGAUUAUUUUAUCAAAAAUAAUGAAUUAUAUAUUAUAUAUUAUUUUUAUAAAAAUCAAAUUAUGAAUUCGUUUCCAUAUUGUCUAUGAGGUUUUUCUUCUAACGCUAUUUUUUUUAUAAUUCUCUCAGUAGUUCACUCUACAUAAU